AUUUCUUUAAAAAAAAACAAAAAACAAAAAAAACAGGUGCGAUGAAGCGCCCGAAAGUCCGUCCCUCUCCGGAAUUCUUCUGUGCCCGGCUGUUGUGGUAGAUACCCAACACGCAAACCGACAUGUACCGCUAUGUUGGAAGUUAAAAUGCCCUGGGGCACAGCAAAUGCCAGCAGCGUUUCGUCAUAUACUCUUUCCGAUUCGAAGCCGUGCAAACCACCUGUCAUUCAAUAUUAUGCAGGUGUGUGUACGUUAGACGUGAUCGUUGUGGCUGGAAAAAAAAAUAGUGCAAGUCUCACUUCUGCCGAAUGGAACGCCGCGUUUAUUUACAAAACAAAACAAAAUCGAUAUCGUAAAAAUUUAUAGAAGUUUUUGUUUGUUUUUGUUUCGUAGUUUGUUAGGAGAUAUACAUUUUUAAAUGGGAAAGGGGGGGGGGAUAUAUUUCAUCAAUUGACACACACACAAGUUUUCAUCGCUGCAAAGAUGAAUCGACAUUUCUUUCUUUUUUAUUAUUUUUUAUAAGCCAUGAAGAAAUAAAACACGUUUAAUGCGGAGAGACGGAUUGUGUUGUUUUCAAAACUAGCGCGUCCUGGAACGUUAUGGAAAUACCUACCGUCGUUACACGUUCGAUGUAAUAAGAGAAUGAAUGUUUUUUUUUUUUUUUUUUUUAUUUUUACAAGGUCCAGCCUCGCUCUCUAUCCAGAUGGCGCCGAUGAAGGUAAAAUCGUGAGAUAAAAAUCUAAUAUAAAUCUACUAAUUUUUUGUUUCUUUUGUUUUAAGCUGCUUCUAAUAUGAGAUACUUAAUAUUUCAAAAAAAAAAAAAAAAAAACAAUUUUUUUUCUUGUCUUUUACAUCUUUUACUUGUUUUGAUUCUUAUUCCAUUAACCGAUUUAAGAUUUAAAAAAAAAAAAAAAGAUUUCCGUAUACAUGUGAAAAUGAUUUGUCUCAAUUAUUAGCGGGCAACUUGAAAUUUCAGUGCCUGACGAUACAAUACCUGCUUGCAUCUGGAUUCCCAAGUAAAGUCUCGUUAUUGAAACUCUCGGGCCCUUUGAUUUAGACAUUUUGAAAAAAAAAACAUGGCGCUUUCGUUGUUCGGUUUCGGCUGCGCUGGAACAUAAAUCUCAUCUACAAAUCUACAAUGAGGACUUGACUUGCUUGCUUCCUACAAAAUUGAAGAUUUCGGUUGGCUAAAAUAAUUGGGAUGGUAAGUUAAAGUACCUCUGCCAUUAUUUAAAAAUUUAAAAAGGGAAAAACAAAUGGAACGCGGGGCUCGAAGAAUCAGGUAAGAAUCGGAUGGCACGCAGGGAGUAUAUUUCUGCUGGAUCGCAAGAGCUAUUUCGGAUGGACGCUAGAUGGCGGUAGACGCAGCGAUUCGAACGUGUUCCAACGAGACGACUCCAAGUUUUCCUCGUCCAGCGCUUCGCUUUCCGACUGGACGGCCCUGUCCGAUUGGCGUCCGACUCUCGAAUUCGAUCCGAGCUUCACAUUUUGCUUGAUAGAUGGCGACCGGUUGCACAGCCAGCUGUGGAACGGAUGUGUGCAUGGAUCGGCACCAUCCGCCCAACCGGAAGCUUCAGUUGGAGCCACUCUGACGGCUGGUUUCUGCGUCGUCAGGAUUGGCGGCGCUUCCAACGGAAGGGCGUCCAGCGUUUCAAAGUUUGAAGCGUCCGGCAGUUGACCAGCAGGAGUUGUGGUUGGUGGGCGGGUCGUCCUGAUUUUCACCGGUGCUUUAGCGCACAGCCAACUGUGGAACGGAUGCGAACACGAAUCCGCUUCGUCCCAUCCGGACGAUUUGUUCGGUUUGACCGUUGUGGUGGAGGUGGUGGUUGUGGUGGUUGGCGGAGGGGAAGCAUCCGCAACGAGCUGAUUAGCCUCCACCAUCGACGGAGCCGGUUCGAAAACGACGGCCUCUUGCGGAGGAGCGAGAGUUGUGGCGGCCGGAGUCGUCGUCCGCAUUUUGGGCUUCUCGCACAACCAGCUGUGGAACGGAUGAGAACAAGAAUCCGCCUCGUCCCACCCUUUCUUUGGAGCUAACGUGCGGAUCAGAAGCGGAACGGAAGUCGUCGGCGGAAGCUGAGUUGUAGUUGGAGGAGCAGCCGGCGGAUUGAUGUCCGGAAUGAAGAAAGAUGCAUCCGGAACGAACGGCUGCGAUGCCGUCGUGGUGAUGGCCGGAAGCGGACGAGGGGAGGUCGUCCGGCCAACCGGCUGGCGUUUGUCGCACAACCAACUGUGAAACGGGUGGGUGCAGGGAUCGGCUCCGUCCCAUCCGGAUCGUUUGGUCGUGACCGCAAGCGGCGGCGUAGUGGUGGUCGGGACGGCAGUGGCGGCUUGCAGCGGCGGAAGCAAAAGAUUUUGAUCCAAGAUCGAAGCUCCCGUUUCCUUGGAUUGCGCAGGAGGUCGGAUGAUUUUCGGCCGCUGCUUGGCGCACAUCCAGCUGUGAAACGGAUGAUUGCAAGGAUCCAUGCCGGACCACGAGUCCGGGCCUUCAUCAGCGCGUCCUUGAACGGCAAGGAGAGCAGGAGGAGGAGUCGCAAGCGGCGGGACGACAGUCGGGCUGAGAUCCGGAAUUAGAAUCUGUACAUUUUCAAAAGACGAUCCAGGGAAGAAUGGCGUCUGCUGUUGAGCUGUCGUUGCCUCUGGCGGCCGAUUGGUGGCGGAUGGGACAACGGCCUUGUUUUUACACAUCCAGCUGUGGAGCGGAUGAUUGCAUUGAUCGGAGUUCUCGUCAUGCUCGGUAGAUGGCGCGAAACGCAGCAAUUGCUGGAGGAAAUCCAGUUGACCUCCGUCAAAUGAUUUCUCGUUCCUCAAAUUGGAAUGACGUAAAUUCUGAUCGGCGCCUUCCGCAUCGCUUCCGCCGCUGGAUAGCGACAGACUGACGUAACUGUCGAGCGAAUAGUCGGCUGACUCUUCGGUGGCGAACGGAUCGUAUCCAGCAGAUGAAACGAUCGACGGUCUCCUCUCAUCCGGAUGGAUGGACCCUGACGACGGGAAACGGAUGACCAUCUGGCGGCUGAAAGUAGCGGCCGGGAUGACGACGGGCUGCGGAGUGGUGUCGUCAUCCGGCCGAGACGUAACGUGACCCCCUGGCCACACCAUCCGCACGAGGAUCUUGCGUUGAUGAUCGACUGGUCUGUUAUUAAACGCGUGCACCGUCAGGAAGGACAACUCGAGGAGCACGAUCCAACGGAUCAUUUCUCUCGCAUCCUGAAACAUUCGCAAAAGAUGAUGGAUCAAUCAAACAGCAAUCGAUUUCCACAUCUAAUUACACACCGCACUUGUCUGAGCUCCUAAUCAGCGUCAGCUGGAAAACGCAUUGAAUAUUCAAACGGCCGUCCAAAGAGAACGUGGACGUCAAAUGAACGAAAACAAUUUCGCACGUCUCAUUAUAAACAACGAGCACAAAAUCUGAAUUUUCCUUUGAAACGCUGUGAUGUUGCGCUCGAACUCUAAUUGUUAUUGCGUAAUGCGCUACCACGUUGCGCGUCAAAUAAAAGCUGAUACGCAUAACGAGCUAAAGAGAGAGAGAGCUGAUUGCUGCAGGCAAUGUAAUGAGCGGGCCCUCAUAUUAUACAAUUAAAGCAAACUGCUUAUCAAUUUUUAUUUUUCAAAUGUUAUCCCUUCAACAACAACAACAAAAAAAACGUAAUUGUUUGUCUCUCUCUCUCUUGUGUGUGUGUGUGUGUUCGUGUAACAACGAACGCUUUCUUUUCAAGAACAAAGUGAAAAUGAACAGCUGAUGGUGAUGGCUAAGAAUAUUGGGGGGCUCAUCAACGGGUGGUUGAAAAGACGAAAAUCACUUAACAUUUGGCUUUGGGCUAUUUUUCGAAUCCUGUUCCUGACUCAAUUUUGGACGUCCAGUGCACAACCAACUUAUCGUUGAAUUGUGAAAUAAAGAAGAAGAAAUGAUGAAAUUGAUGUCCCGUUGCGCUUAAAUGCCUCGGGGCAUCAUUUGCGCCUUUUGCUUGUGUGGCCUUUCGUGACACAAGACCUUCGUUUCAGAUCGUGAAAGUCUUGUGUGUUUGCUCUCGUUCGUUCCCUACGAACCGGCCGUUGUGUAAAAAGGAAGUCGAUCCAACUGACGCCUUGGAUUUAAAAAAGAAAAAAGAAAAAAUUUAAAUGUUUGCUUUCUUAUCUGGAUACGGUAGCUGUUUAGGCCUUCGACGUCAUUCCGUUGAAUCACGCACAUCGUUUGUCAUUUGAAUUUCAAGAUAUUCAUCCGAGAAUUCCAGAGGGUGAAAGUUCUUUUGAUUCUUUUCACGUGAAUAUCGCAACAGUCCGGCUAGCAACAACUGAAAGGGGGCGAAGGAAAGAAGAAGGCGCGCGUCAUUUAAAAAAUUGGGGAAGAGACACCCAGCAGCAACACACACACACAAAAAAAAAGCAAAGGAAAAAAAGAAUAGAAUCACUGAAGAGUUUUUUAAAAAAAUGGCAGCGACACACAUUUUCUCUAAAAGAAUCUUUUGAAAAAAAUGAGUCAAGGUGUGAAGGAAAUAUCCACAAGAUAAAGAGAGAAAGUUCGGUUAAGUUAAACAAAUUCGUUUUUAUUCACGAAAAAAAAAUCAACGCAUUCACGACCCAUCUAAUAAACUGACACGCGGGAGGAACCCAACCCGUUACAUCAUUCCCCUUUUGAACUUAAAAAUGAAAUAAAAAUUGAAGAUGGCGCCAAGUCCCGACCCGGAAAAAAACUUAGGCAAGGUCGAGGAUUUAUUUUAUUUUUUUCCCGUUCAUUUCUGCAAUAUCUUUUGUGUGUGUGUGUGUUUAUACCUCGCCAAAAAAAAGAAAACUUUCUCUCUCUUCCGUUUCAAAAAAGAAAUUCAUUUUCGAGAUAAUCCAGGAUGUUUUCACGGAUUCAGUCCCCUCCCCUCAUCACGGCAACAAUGACGCAAUCCUAUUUUUUUUUUCUUCUUCAGGUAAGACAAUUGUCGUUGAUGAACGUGUUUAUUAUGUUGGCAGGAAUCUUUUCCUCGUCACCAAAGAACAAAAGAAUCCCCCACCCAAAAAAAACAUAUUUUUUGAAACGCCCAUUUUCUGUGUUCAAAAUGGCCUCGUCAUUUGAUAUCUCUUGCGUCUACAUCAAAGAGAUGUUUGUGUGCGGAGGCCCAAAAGGAGGACGACAGAAAUGAUGGAUCUAUCGGAUAUGUGUGAGAUGCGCAUGGAUUUCUCCGUUGGGUUGUUGUAAUAGGUCGACUUAUUGGCGCCGCGCAGCUUUCACUUGCGCACGCAAGUUCAAAUUGCGUCGUUUUGCCUUUUGUUAUUCGUUUCCACGUUUUUAAAUUUUUACGAAAUAUUCCGGAUUGAAAUUCUUAUAUAUCUUUCUGGCUUGAUUGAAUUCAACAAAUCGUUUUGUUUUUGUUUUGGUUUGUUUUUUUGUGUGUGGCCUGUGAACUAUUUUGAAAUUCAUGUCGGCGCCGUUUGGAACUGUGUUUCAGCUUUGUCGGUUUGCCACUGGAGGCAUGUUUGUCGUUCAAUGUAUUCUGACAGUUAGUGAUCAACAAGGUGUGAACAGGUUAGUGCUACAUUCGAGACAACUGGAAACACCUGCCGAGUCAAAAUUACAAAGUGCGCGAUUUGCAUAUCAAGUAGCUGGGCUUUUCGGCUAUUCAUCGACGCUGUCUCCCUUUCCUUAUGUUACAGAGGGGGCACUUGCCAUCAUCAAAGGACUUGGAAAUGAAUGGCUAUUAUAAGAAAUGCUUCAACGAGAUGCAAUUACGCGUGUGCCCUUUCACUUCUCCUUCAUUAUUAUGAAAGGUAACCUCCUUUUUUU